AUUGAACGCUGGCGGCAUGCCUUACACAUGCAAGUCGAACGGUAACGGGUCCUUCGGGAUGCCGACGAGUGGCGAACGGGUGAGUAAUAUAUCGGAACGUGCCCAGUAGUGGGGGAUAACUGCUCGAAAGAGCAGCUAAUACCGCAUACGACCUGAGGGUGAAAGGGGGGGAUCGCAAGACCUCUCGCUAGUGGAGCGGCCGAGUUCCGAUUGGGUAGUUGGGGGGGUAAAGGCCUACCAAGGCAGCGAUCUGUAGUUGGUCUGAGAGGACGACCAGCCACACUGGGACUGAGACACGGCCCAGACUCCUACGGGAGGCAGCAGUGGGGAAUUUUGGACAAUGGGCGCAAGCCUGAUCCAGCAAUGCCGCGUGCAGGAAGAAGGCCUUCGGGUUGUAAACUGCUUUUGUCAGGGAAGAAAUCUUCUGGGCUAAUACCCCGGGAGGAUGACGGUACCUGAAGAAUAAGCACCGGCUAACUACGUGCCAGCAGCCGCCGUAA
rnacentral:rRNA from 1 species